CGGAGCGUAGCGCAGUCUGGUAGCGCACCUGAUUUGGGAUGAGGGGGUCCAGGUUCGAAUCCUGCCGCUCCGACCA
rnacentral:tRNA from 1 species